rnacentral:tRNA from 1 species
CCAUGGCGUGGCUGGCCGGCGUGCGAUCCGGCUUGAGCACGGGCCAGAGCCGUUCGAUCCGGCCGUCAGGGU